rnacentral:rRNA from 1 species
AACGAACGCUGGCGGCAGGCUUAACACAUGCAAGUCGAACGGUUGUAGCAAUACAGCAGUGGCAGACGGGUGAAUAACACGUGGGAACCUUCCUCGUAGUACGGAACAACUCAGGGAAACUUGAGCUAAUACCGUAUACGUCCGAGAGGAGAAAGAUUUAUCGCUAUGAGACGGGCCCGCGUCCGAUUAGCUUGUUGGUGGGGUAACGGCCUACCAAGGCAACGAUCGGUAGCUGAUCNGAGAGGAUGAUCAGCCACACCUGGGACUGAGACACGGCCCAGACUCCUACGGGAGGCAGCAGUGGGGAACCUUGGUACAAAUGGGCGAAAGCCUGAUCCAGCCAUGCCGCGUGAGUGAAGAAGGCCUUA